rnacentral:rRNA from 1 species
UAGGGAAUCUUCCGCAAUGGGCGAAAGCCUGACGGAGCAACGCCGCGUGAGUGAUGAAGGUCUUCGGAUCGUAAAACUCUGUUAUUAGGGAAGCACAAAUGUGUAAGUAACUAUGCACGUCUUGACGGUACCUAAUCAGAAAGCCACGGCUAACUACGUGCCAGCAGCCGCGGUAAUACGUAGGUGGCAAGCGUUAUCCGGAAUUAUUGGGCGUAAAGCGCGCGUAGGCGGUUUUUUAAGUCUGAUGUGAAAGCCCACGGCACAACCGUGUAGGGUCAUUGGAAACUGGAAGACUUGAGUGCAGAAGAGGAAAGUGGAAUUCCAUGUGUCGCGGUGAACUGCGAAGAGAUAUGGAGGAACACGAGGGGCGAAGGCGACUUUUUGGUCUGUAACUGACGCUGAUGUGCGAAAGCGUGGGGAUCAAACAGG